rnacentral:rRNA from 1 species
AGGGCACCACCAGGAGUGGAGCCUGCGGCUUAAUUUGACUCAACACGGGAAAUCUCACCAGGCCCGGACACCGGAAGGAUUGACAGAUUGAGAGCUCUUUCUUGAUUCGGUGGGUGGUGGUGCAUGGCCGUUCUUAGUUGGUGGAGCGAUUUGUCUGGUUAAUUCCGAUAACGAACGAGACUCUGGCCUACUAACUAGAUGGAGGAUCCCUUCGUGGGUUCUUCACCGCUUCUUAGAGGGACGGGCGGCGUUUAGCCGCACGAGAUUGAGCAAUAACAGGUCUGUGAUGCCCUUAGAUGUUCUGGGCUGCACGCGCGCUACACUGAAGGAAUCAGCGUGUCCUCCCCGCUCUGAAAAGAGUGGGUAACCCGUUGAAACUCCUUCGUGAUGGGGAUUGGAGAUUGUAAUUAUUCUCCAUGAACGAGGAAUUCCCAGUAGGCGCGAGUCAUCAGUUUGCGUCGAUUACGUCCCUGCCCUUUGUACACACCGCCCGUCGCUACUACCGAUCGAGUGAUUUAG